rnacentral:rRNA from 1 species
UACGUAGGGUGCGAGCGUUGUCCGGAUUUAUUGGGCGUAAAGGGCUCGUAGGCGGCCAACUAAGUCAGACGUGAAAUCCCUCGGCUUAACCGGGGAACUGCGUCUGAUACUGGAUGGCUCGAGUUUGGGAGAGGGAUGCGGAAUUCCAGGUGUAGCGGUGAAAUGCGUAGAUAUCUGGAGGAACACCGGUGGCGAAGGCGGCAUCCUGGACCAACACUGACGCUGAUGAGCGAAAGCCAGGGGAGCAAACGGG